UUUAGUUCCCCUGACUUUUCCAUAUGGCUCCUGAUGUGGCACAUUGUAGUGUUGGAAUCUCUGCUUCAGUGAGCCUGAAAAUGUUGAGAACACAACUGGAGGAAAUCUGGAACAUGUUUUCAAGUAGGAACUGGCUUUAGUUUUUAGUCAAACCAUAUGGAUUUUAACUUCGCAUUGAUGUUCUAUGAUCUGUGAAAGGAGUUCUUACUAACACCUACUUGGUUGAGGGUUUCAAAGUUUCUUUAAUUUGAC
rnacentral:misc_RNA from 1 species